rnacentral:sRNA from 1 species
GCGGAGCCGAACAAGACCGAAAUCCAGACUCUUUUUAAGAGGCUUCGCGCGGUUCCAACCAACAAGGCCUGUUUCGACUGCGGCGCCAAGAAUCCGAGUUGGGCCAGCAUCACGUAUGGUGUUUUCUUGUGCAUUGACUGUUCCGGGGUGCACCGCUCUCUGGGCGUCCAUCUGAGCUUCAUCAGGUCCACAGAGUUGGAUUCCAACUGGAACUGGUUCCAGCUGAGGUGUAUGCAGGUCGGCGGGAAUGCCAAUGCGACGGCUUUUUUCCGCCAACAUGGAUGCACAGCCAAUGAUGCCAACACCAAAUAUAAUAGCCGAGCUGCCCAGAUGUACCGGGAGAAGAUCCGGCAGCUGGGGAGCGCGGCCCUGGCUAGGCACGGCACUGAUCUUUGGAUAGACAACAUGAGUAGUGCCGUUCCUAGUCACUCCCCAGAGAAGAAGGACUCUGAUUUCUUCACAGAACACACUCAAUCCCUUUCCUCAUGGGCUUGGAGUAUGAUCUCUUGUCCACAAGGUGCUUGUAGGUCUUGGUGCUUCUUGCCAGCAGGAGUGGCUCACCGAGGCUUCUGUGAUC